rnacentral:rRNA from 1 species
GCAGGCUUUCGCCUUGAAUAGUUUAGCAUGGAAUAAUAAAGUAGGACUUUGGUUCUAUUUUGUUGGUUUUAGGUACCAAAGUAAUGGUUAAUAGGAACAGUUGGGGGCAUUCGUAUUUAACUGUCAGAGGUGAAAUUCUUAGA